GGGAAGAAUGAAACAUCCAAUCUGAUUUAUGAUCUCUCCCUUUCUCUCCCUCUGGAAAAUAUACCUCUCUCUCUCUCUCUCUACAGUUUCCAGUCUCCACCAUAUUAAUUAUUUUUACAGCCAAGCACCAUAUUAAAUAGUGCUCAACUGCCUUCUUUUUGAAAAUACUCUCACAACUAUCCCACUUUGUAUUUUGCGCUGAUGGAUAAGUAGGGUUUUGGAAUUGUAAAGUUGGUGAUGAAGAAGAAGAGCAGAUUGAAGAUUGUAAAGGGUAGAGAAUAGGCUCAUGAUUGAUGUCUGACAUUUUGCCAUUAAUUUAUGGCAAAAGUUCCUUUUUCUACGCUCCUAUUAAAGCGGACCAAAUGAAUUAAUACUCUCUGUAUAUGAAUUUAAUUUGGGAAUAAGAAUCGAACCUACUUUUUGCUAUGCACAUAGCUGUAAAUAGGGGUGUUCAUA